UACGUAGGGGGCGAGCGUUGUCCGGAAUUAUUGGGCGUAAAGAGCGUGUAGGCGGUUCGGUAAGUCUGCCGUGAAAACCUGAGGCUCAACCUCGGGCGUGCGGUGGAUACUGCCGGGCUAGAGGACGGUAGAGGCGAGUGGAAUUCCCGGUGUAGCGGUGAAAUGCGCAGAUAUCAGGAAGAACACCAAUGGCGAAGGCAGCUCUCUGGGACGGUACUGACGCUGAGACGCGAAAGCGUGGGGAGCGAACAGG
rnacentral:rRNA from 1 species